rnacentral:rRNA from 1 species
CGGGGGGGGCAAGCGUUGUUCGGAAUUACUGGGCGUAAAGGGCUCGUAGGCGGCCAACUAAGUCCGACGUGAAAUCCCCAGGCUUAACCUGGGAACUGCGUCGGAUACUGGAUGGCUUGAAUUCGGGAGAGGGAUGCAGAAUUCCAGGUGUAGCGGUGAAAUGCGUAGAUAUCUGGAGGAAUACCGGUGGCGAAGGCGGCAUCCUGGACCGACAUUGACGCUGAGUGAGCGAAAGCUAGGGGAGCAAACGGGAUUAGAUACCCCGGUAGUCCUAGCCCUAAACGAUGAAUGCUUGGUGUGGCGGGUAUCGAUCCCUGCCGUGCUGAAGCUAACGCAUUAAGCAUUCCGCCUGGGGAGUACGGUCGCAAGGCUG